rnacentral:rRNA from 1 species
GAUGAACGCUGGCGGCGUGCCUAAUACAUGCAAGUCGAGCGAACGGACGAGAAGCUUGCUUGUCUGAUGUUAGCGGCGGACGGGUAAGUAACACGUGGAUAACCUACCUAUAAGACUGGGAUAACUUCGGAAAACCGGAGCUAAUACCGGAUAAUAUUUUGAACCGCAUGGUUCAAAAGUGAAAGACGGUCUUGCUGUCACUUAUAGAUGGAUCCGCGCUGCAUUAGCUAGUUGGUAAGGUAACGGCUUACCAAGGCAACGAUGCAUAGCCGACCUGAGAGGGUGACCGGCCACACUGGAACUGAGACACGGUCCAGACUCCUACGGGAGGCAGCAGUAGGGAAUCUUCCGCAAUGGGCGAAAGCCUGACGGAGCAACGCCGCGUGAGUGAUGAAGGUCUUCGGAUCGUAAAACUCUGUUAUUAGGGAAGAACAUAUGUGUAAGUAACUGUGCACAUCUUGACGGUACCUAAUCAGAAAGCCACGGCUAACUACGUG